GCAGCUACCGCAUACAACACACCCCCCCCUCCAACUUUUUCCUUAUCAGAAGGAGCGGUUUGUUUUGGUAUCUCACCUAUGAUGUGUAGAUAAGGAAAACGACCAACAACGCACCUUAACAGAAGAAGUUAAUUUCAUUUCAGUUAAUUUCUUUAUUUUUUUAUUUGUUAUUUUAAUAAUUUAAAUUACUUCUUAUAUCAACGGGUUAAAUCUGGUGGGCUGGUUCUUCUCUUUGCUACCGCAGGGUUAGAUGAGAUUUGAAAUUACGCGUAAGGAAGAUACGCCCGUCUGUACCGGAGAUGUACGUGGGAAUUUUGCUGGCUUGUGUAUUUAUGUCAGGAAAGGCAAAGACGCGGCAGCCAUCUGCCCCCAUGCAGCGCGCCUGGAGGGAUGGAGCUGCUGACUGAGACUCGCCGCGCCUUCGGUGUCACCGUGACCGUCGCAGGAUUUGCGAAGGACUGUGUGAGAUCGGGACACCAAGUGUGUCCAGCAGCACUUUCAUUCAGGGAGGCACCGAAGCAGGAAUUCAUUCAGGAUUACAUUAUUAUGUUUUUUUUUUCUGAAAUAGUACUUGGAAAUUGACCCUUAUAUGUAACAGAAAUGCAGGCUGAACAGGAACGAUUUGAUUUAUUGUAAUUAUUUUCUUUAUUUAAAAAUAAAAAAUGAUUUGCCUUGUGGGAAUCUUUCACUGCA